rnacentral:rRNA from 1 species
UGUAUAAUGGGUCAGCGACUUAUAUUCUGUAGCAAGGUUAACCGAAUAGGGGAGCCGAAGGGAAACCGAGUCUUAACUGGGCGUUAAGUUGCAGGGUAUAGACCCGAAACCCGGUGAUCUAGCCAUGGGCAGGUUGAAGGUUGGGUAACACUAACUGGAGGACCGAACCGACUAAUGUUGAAAAAUUAGCGGAUGACUUGUGGCUGGGGGUGAAAGGCCAAUCAAACCGGGAGAUAGCUGGUUCUCCCCGAAAGCUAUUUAGGUAGCGCCUCGUGAAUUCAUCUCCGGGGGUAGAGCACUGUUUCGGCAAGGGGGUCAUCCCGACUUACCAACCCGAUGCAAACUGCGAAUACCGGAGAAUGUUAUCACGGGAGACACACGGCGGGUGCUAACGUCCGUCGUGAAGAGGGAAACAACCCAGACCGCCAGCUAAGGUCCCAAAGUCAUGGUUAAGUGGGAAACGAUGUGGGAAGGCCCAGACAGCCAGGAUGUUGGCUUAGAAGCAGCCAUCAUUUAAAGAAAGCGUAAUAGCUCACUGGUCGAGUCGGCCUGCGCGGAAGAUGUAACGGGGCUAAACCAUGCACCGAAGCUGCGGCAGCGACGCUUAUGCGUUGUUGGGUAGGGGAGCGUUCUGUAAGCCUGUGAAGGUGUGCUGUGAGGCAUGCUGGAGGUAUCAGAAGUGCGAAUGCUGACAUAAGUAACGAUAAAGCGGGUGAAAAGCCCGCUCGCCGGAAGACCAAGGGUUCCUGUCCAACGUUAAUCGGGGCAGGGUGAGUCGACCCCUAAGGCGAGGCCGAAAGGCGUAGUCGAUGGGAAACAGGUUAAUAUUCCUGUACUUGGUGUUACUGCGAAGGGGGGACGGAGAAGGCUAUGUUGGCCGGGCGACGGUUGUCCCGGUUUAAGCGUGUAGGCUGGUUUUCCAGGCAAAUCCGGAAAAUCAAGGCUGAGGCGUGAUGACGAGGCACUACGGUGCUGAAGCAACAAAUGCCCUGCUUCCAGGAAAAGCCUCUAAGCAUCAGGUAACAUCAAAUCGUACCCCAAACCGACACAGGUGGUCAGGUAGAGAAUACCAAGGCGCUUGAGAGAACUCGGGUGAAGGAACUAGGCAAAAUGGUGCCGUAACUUCGGGAGAAGGCA